GCCAUGCGAGUCACGUAGCAAUACGUGGCACACGGCUCAGUAACACGUAGUCAACAUAACCAAAGGACGUGGAUAAACUCGGGAAACUGAGGCUAAACCGCGAUAGACCAAGAUACCUGGAAUGGUUUUUGAUUAAAAUCUAUAUGGCCUUUGGAUUGGACUGCGACCGAUCAGGCUGUUGGUGAGGUAAUGGCCCACCAAACCUGUAACCGGUACGGGCUCUGAGAGGAGGAGCCCGGAGAUGGGUACUGAGACAAGGACCCAGGCCCUAUGGGGCGCAGCAGGCGAGAAAACUUUGCAAUGUGCGAAAGCACGACAAGGUUAAUCCGAGUGGUUUCUGCUUAAGAGACCUUUUGUUAGUUCUAGAAAUACUGACGAAUAAGGGGUGGGCAAGUUCUGGUGUCAGCCGCCGCGGUAAAACCAGCACCUCAAGUGGUCAGGAUGAUUAUUGGGCCUAAAGCAUCCGUAGCUUGCUAUGUAAGUUAUCGGUUAAAUCCAUACGCUUAACGUAUGGGCUGCCGGUAAUACUGCAUAGCUAGGGAGUGGGAGAGGUAGACGGUACUCGGUAGGAAGGGGUAAAAUCCUUUGAUCUAUUGAUGACCACCAGUGGCGAAGGCGGUCUACCAGAACACGUCCGACGGUGAGGGAUGAAAGCUGGGGGAGCAAACCGGAUUAGAUACCCGGGUAGUCCCAGCUGUAAACUAUGCAAACUCAGUGAUGCAUUGGCUUGUGGCCAAUGCAGUGCUGCAGGGAAGCCGUUAAGUUUGCCGCCUGGGAAGUACGUACGCAAGUAUGAAACUUAA
rnacentral:rRNA from 1 species